rnacentral:rRNA from 1 species
AUGUUGGAACUUCUUUGUCAAGCAGGUCUUCGCCAGCAUUGGGAAUUUGGGAUGGCAGUGCCACACAUUGAUAUCAAGUCUGUCAUUGCCUUUACCAUGUUUCUUAAAGCCUUUGGUGGUCUCCUUUUCAUCAUCAACGGGUCGUUCGGAUCGGUCGUACUGGUGUGUACUCUUCUUGUGCAUGCACUAUAUCUAGAUUUAUGUUAUGUUAAAGGGGCAUCUAGAUGCAUACUAUUGUGGCUGCCAUUAAAUGCAUGUCUUCUCAAACUAUUUAAAAGGAAGUGUUGUUGCCGUGCCAUUUAG